rnacentral:rRNA from 1 species
GCCCAGCGCAUAAUCUACGUCGGUCCCCGGCGUCGAGGUGUUGCGUAUAGGUACUGCUGGCGGCCUUAGCUUCUGUCUGAAGUUCGCUGGAACGCAUCUUCCAGAGAGGGUGUUAGGCCCGUUCGGACGGAGGCUUUUUCUUGUAGGCAGUGUCUGGGAGUCGAGUUGCUUGGAAGUGCAGCUCAAAGUAGGUGGUAUACCACACCUAAGGCUAAAUACGACCACGAGACCGAUAGCAAACAAGUACCGUGAGGGAAAGUUGCAAAGAACUUUGAAGAGAGAGUUCAAGAGGACGUGAAACCACAAGGGGCGAAACGGACAGAGUUGACGUAGCUAGCAGUGUUCAGUAUUAUCUUGUGCUAGGUUGCGUACGGAUUGCCAGAGGGUGAUUAUACGUGACUUGCUGUGUGCGAGGUGGUUUGCUCUCGCUGCUGGUAUACGCUGAGGCGCUCGGCUGCCCCUUCCGAACUUUGAUGCGUGGCCUGUGCUUCGGUACAGUAACCUGUGUUGGAGUGAGGUUGAUGUGGUGGCUGGGUGUAGUGCUUCUUUCGCCUUUGCGCCGGUUGUGUUGCUGUUUGCGUGCACUGCUGUACGUGAUUGCAAAAUCAUGUGCGGUAGUUGUUAUGUAGGCGGUGAUUUGACUGCUGAGAGGAGCCCUCGGUGUGAAAGUCGACCACCUGUCCGACCCGUCUUGAAACACGGACCAAGAAGUUUAGCAAAUGCGCGAGUCAAUGGGUUUUACACCUACUGGCGAAAUGAAAGUAAAGGUCGGCUUGUUCGGCUGAUAUGUGAUCAGUGGCUGCGGCUGCUGCGCAACAUAGCCCCAUGCCGGCUGCUUGCAGCGGUGUGGAGGUAGAGCGUAUUUGCUGAGACCCGAAAGAUGGUGAACUAUGCCUGAGCAGGAUGAAGCCAGAGGAAACUCUGGUGGAGGUCCGAAACGGUUCUGACGUGCAAAUCGAU